rnacentral:rRNA from 1 species
CCUACGGGUGGCAGCAGUGAGGAAUAUUGGUCACUGGUCGCGAGCCUGAACCAGCCAAGUCGCGUGAAGGAUGACUGCCCUCCGGGUUGUAAACUUCUUUUAUCAAGGAAUAAAGUCAGGCACGUGUCCCUGUUUGUUUUUACUUUAUGAAUAAGGAUCGGCUCACUCCGUGCCAGCAGCCGCGGUAAUCCGGGGGAUGCGUUCGUUAUCCGGAUUUAUUGGGUUUAACGGGUGAGUGGGCGGCCAUUUAAGCCGGCGGUAAAAUGUCGGGGCGAAACCCCGGCCUGCCGUCGGACCGGGGAGCCGUGAGUGGGCGAGAAGUAUGCGGAAUGCGGGGUGUAGCGGUGAAAUGCAUAGAGAGCACGCAGAACCCCGAUUGCGAAGGAAGCAUACCGGCGCCCUACUGACGCGGAGGCACGAAAGUGCGGGUAUCGAACAGGAUUAGAUACCCUAGUAGUC